AUUCUAUACGAAACAGAAAACAGCAUCAGUGUUUUUGAGCCCUAGAAACGAUGUCAGUGUAGAGGGGGAAGAAGUCACAGGUAUUUUCCUUCUACAUCUUGACUUCGCUACAGACUUUUGAGCAAGCUUUCAUUUCUCUUUUUUGACUUUGGGGAAAGGGGAGGGGAGCAGCUUCCAGCAAUAACCUAUAGUGUUAUGUCCUUGUGGAGGGUCCACAUGCAACCUCGGAAAACAUCCCCAGGACCUGCUGAAGUUGUGUAAAUGGUUGCCUCAUCUAAUGAAGAAGCUUUGCAGCUUAUGAGGAUGCCACAAGCCGGGUAGGAUUCAGACAUAACUCCUCUAAGCUGCCUCAGCUGAUUAAUCUACUCAUAUCUCUGCCUGUCUUGCUUAUAAGCAGGUAGUUCUCUUCAGUCCAACAACAGAGGCUCCUGGCAAUUUUGAAGAAGCACCCACCGGGAGCCAACGACCAAUGUCUCCUGUGUGAAGCCAGCCGUCCUCAUCCAGAACCUCCUUGGUCUUCUCAGGGUCCUUCAGGUAUCCUUGGAAUACAUUGCUGCCCUUGAUGCAGAUCUGCACAUAAGACAGCACAAGCUGGUAACAGUGGGAAAGGCUGCAACUCCCAGCAGAGGCACUUCACAAAACGUCUGCUCCCACCUCCAAUCAUUUGAUGGUUUCCACUACAGCGUGAAGACCACCAAAUUUUACUCCCUGUUGUAGGGGAUAGGAAAGUGAGACUCAGAGAUGUUCAUUUCCUUGGUCAAGAUCUCAAGUCAAACCCAAGUCUCCUCCUCCUCACAGUUGUGUGCUCUUUUUGACAUAAACAGAUUUACUAUGGAUGUCUGGGCAUGACUACAGAGCACAACCUACCCACCUCUCCUUCACUGUUCACUGAAAAGUAGUUCAUGUCAGGCACAUCUUCUAGCUUCACAUGAUUGCAAGCCAGGGGGACUCCGACGUGGCCUAGAAAACACCACCUUGAAUCAGCUGGGAAACCAUGAAACAGUGAUAAUGUCCAGGAAUGUUUCUGACUUAUUUAUGGAUUGACUCUAAAACAAGAAAACUGAAAAGUCAUCCAGUGCCAAUGCUGGAUAGCCAAGAUAGAAAGGUCUGGACUGAAACUUGAGUUUGGCAUUUGCCACAUUUGUCCAAAGCACUGAGGUUAUCUAACUCAAGCCCUAGUUCCUUUAGAACCCUCCUGCCAACAACUGCAUCUCCCACCCAGUAGAUGGAGAACCUACCUGAUGUCCAGUCUCCAGGUAAUGUAAAUGUACAGCCAGCAGAACAUUCUGUUUGGCCAUAAGCUUCAAAC